CCCUAACUGCAGUGGGGCCAGGGCCAGAUUCUGAUCUCAGUCAAUCCAGAGUCACCCCCUGCCUGCAAUGGGAUCAGGCCAGAUUCAGAUCUCAGCUAAUCCAGAGUCACCUCCUAACUGCAGUGGGGCCAGGGCCAGAUUCUGGUCUCAGUUAAUCCAGAUUCACCCCCUGACUGCAGUGGGAUCACGGCCAGAUUCUGACCUCUGCUCUUCUGGGAUCAAUCCAAAGUCACUCUGACUUCAGCGGCCUUACUCCAGAUGUGAUGGGUUAUUCUGGAGUCACACCCAGGACUGGGGAUUUGCUGUGUCUAGUUUAUUCCCCAUCAUGGGGGUGAGUGAAUGGGGCGGGCUGGAGGGUGAACCAGGGGAAGGUGUGGGGGGAGAUUGGGAAAGGGGGUCCAGCCCAGAGACACCCCCCCACCUCAGCUGGGUGAUUUAGCAACCCGUCAGUCAGUAACCAGGGACACACCCCCGUCUCCAUGGCAAGAGCCAAUGUAGGCCCGACAGACCAUAUCAUCCAGGAACAAUGCAACCAGGAAGCUGCGGGGGGGAGGACGGAUACGAUCCAUCCUCGCCCUGAAAUCCCUGGGGGCUGCGGUGAUGGCCGCGCGAUCUGGGGAGAGGGGCCAAUGGCUGCAGGGACCGGCAGGAUCACAGGCAGCAGUGCCAGGCGGAGUAACAGGCAGUGAUGUUAGGGUAACGUGUGGAGUAACAGGCGGAGUAACACACGCAAUGCUAGAGUACCCUGCCCUGACGCUCCGGUACCGUGCACAGGAACGGGCGGGAGUAACAGGCGGAGUAACACACGCAAUGCUAGAGUACCCUGCCCUGACGCUCGGGUACCGUGCACAGGAACGGGCGGGAGUAACAGACGGAGUAAAACACGCAGUGCUAGAGUACCCUGCCCUGACGCUUGGGUACCAUGCACAGGAACGGGCGGGAGUAACAGACGGAGUAAAACACGCAAUGCUAGAGUACCCUGCCCUGACGCUUGGGUACCAUGCACAGGAACGGGCGGGAGUAACAGGCGGAGUAACACACGCAAUGCUAGAGUACCCUGCCCUGACGCUUGGGUACUGUGCACAGGAACGGGCGGGAGUAACAGACGGAGUAACACAUGCAAUGCUAGAGUACCCUGCCCUGACGCUCGGGUACCGUGCACAGGAACGGGCGGGAGUAACAGGCAGAGUAACACGCAAUGCUAGAGUACCCUGCCCUGACGCUCGGGUACCGUGCACAGGAACGGGCGGGAGUAACAGACGGAGUAAAACACGCAGUGCUAGAGUACCCUGCCCUGAUGCUUGGGUACCAUGCACAGGAACGGGCGGGAGUAACAGACGGAGUAAAACACGCAAUGCUAGAGUACCCUGCCCUGACGCUCAGGUACCGUGCACAGGAACGGGCGGGAGUAACAGGCGGAGUAACACACGCAAUGCUAGAGUACCCUGCCCUGACGCUCGGGUACCGUGCAUAGGAACGGGCGGGAGUAACAGGUGGAGUAUCACACCCAAUGCUAGAGUACCCUGCCCUGACGCUUGGGUACCGUGCACAGGAACAGGCGGGAGUAACAGACGGAGUAAAACAUGCAAUGCUAGAGUACCCUGCCCUGACGCUCAGGUACCGUGCACAGGAAUGGGCGGGAGUAACAGGCGGAGUAACACACGCAAUGCUAGAGUACCCUGCCCUGACGCUCGGGUACUGUGCACAGGAACGGGCGGGAGUAACAGGCGGAGUAACACAUGCAAUGCUAGAGUACCCUGCCCUGAUGCUUGGGUACCGUGCACAGGAACGGUGGGAGUAACAGGCGGAGUAACACUCGCAAUGCUAGAGUACCCUGCCCUGAUGCUCAGGUACCAUGCACAGGAACGGGCAGCGGUGCUGGAGUAACACACACAAUGCUAGGGUACCCUGCCCCGACGCUUGGGUACCGUGCACAGGAAUGGGCAGCGGUGCUGGAGUAACAGGCGGAGUAACACACGCAAUGAUACGGUACCCUGCCCCAACGCUUGGGUACCAUGCACAGGAACGGGCAGCGGUGCUGGAGUAACAGGUGGAGUAACACACACAAUGCUAGGGUACCCUGCCCUGACGCUCAGGUACUGUGGACAGGAACGGGCAGCGGUGCUGGAGUAACAGGUGGAGUAACACACAAUGCUAGAGUACCCUGCCCUGACGCUCGGGUACCGUGCACAGGAACGGGCAGUGGUGCUGGAGUAACAGGCGGAGUAACACACGCAAUGCUAGAGUACCCUGCCCCGACGCUUGGGUACCAUGCACAGGAACGGGCAGCGGUGCUGGAGCAACAGGUGGAGUAACACACGCAAUGUUAGAGUACCGUGCCCUGACACUCGGGUACUGUGCACAGGAAUGGGCAGCAGUGCUGGAGUAACAGGCGGAGUAACACACGCAAUGCUAGAGUACCCUGCCCUGACGCUCAGGCACCAUGCACAGGAACGGGCAGCGGUGCUGGAGUAACACACACAAUGAUAGGGUACCCUGCCCCGACGCUUGGGUACCGUGCACAGGAAUGGGCAGCGGUGCUGGAGUAACAGGCGGAGUAACACACACAAUGCUAGGGUACCCUGCCCUGACGCUCAGGUGCCGUGGACAGGAACGGGCAGCGGUGCUGGAGUAACAGGCGGAGUAACACACGCAAUGCUAGAGUACCCUGCCCCGACGCUCGGGUGCCAUGCACAGGAACGGGCAGUGGUGCUGGAGUAACAGGUGGAGUAACACAAUGCUAGAAUACCCUGCCCCGAUGCUCGGAUACCGUGCACAGGAACGGGCAGCAGUGCUGGAGUAACAGGCGGAGUAACACAUGCAGUGCUAGAGUACCCUGCCCUGACGCUCAGGUACAGUGCACAGCAAUAGGCAGUGGUGCUGCAGUAACAGGCGGAGUAACACACGCAAUGCUGGAGUACCCUGCAGGAACACAGCUGCAUGUGAGUGUAGAUGCGAGAGGAACAGGUGCACGGAGGACUGGAUCCCCCUCCCAGCCCCUUUGCUGCUCCCCAGAUCUGUUCACAUUCCCUCAGGGACAGACUGCGGAGGGCAAAGGGAUUUGGGCUGGGAUGUUAACAGGACCAAGCCCUGAUCCCAGGCUCCUGGCCAGACUCACCCUGUCGGCAGCAGGGAAGUGACUCCGGCUUGAUACCUACAGAAAUGAGAUCAGAAUCCGUGUCUGGGACCACUGGCGGCUGGGG